GCCUGCUCUGAUACCAGUUGAAGGGAAGGGAACAGUUUUCCUCCAGAAUACCCAGAUUGUAUCUAAGAAUUUUCUUUAAUAUUCUAAUUAUUUAAGGAUCAAAUUUUUAUCUAAAUUAUAGUAGAACUAGAGAUUAAAUCUUAAAUUAUCUAAUAUAAACUUUUACAGAGGUCUGGAUAUGCAGACCCUCUACUUCGCAUGCACGUCAGACGCCG
rnacentral:lncRNA from 1 species